rnacentral:rRNA from 1 species
GUACACUCCUACGGGAGGCAGCAGUGGGGAAUUUUGGACAAUGGGCGAAAGCCUGAUCCAGCCAUGCCGCGUGCAGGAUGAAGGCCUUCGGGUUGUAAACUGCUUUUGUACGGAACGAAACGGCCUUUUCUAAUAAAGAGGGCUAAUGACGGUACCGUAAGAAUAAGCACCGGCUAACUACGUGCCAGCAGCCGCGGUAAUACGUAGGGUGCAAGCGUUAAUCGGAAUUACUGGGCGUAAAGCGUGCGCAGGCGGUUAUGUAAGACAGUUGUGAAAUCCCCGGGCUCAACCUGGGAACUGCAUCUGUGACUGCAUAGCUAGAGUACGGUAGAGGGGGAUGGAAUUCCGCGUGUAGCAGUGAAAUGCGUAGAUAUGCGGAGGAACACCGAUGGCGAAGGCAAUCCCCUGGACCUGUACUGACGCUCAUGCACGAAAGCGUGGGGAGCAAACAGGAUUAGAAACCCUUGUAGUCCC